rnacentral:lncRNA from 1 species
AGGCGCGGUGGGAGCCACAGCUUCUUCCGGCUUUCGCUUUGCCCUCAGGGGCUGUUUGCGGUGAAAUGGCGCGUGGGGUGUACCUCGAGCCUCAGCAGGAAGGGAAGGUCGCCUGGGCGAUCGGCUGAGAAAGUGGGGUGAAUCGGCGAGAUGUUGGUGCGGGUCGAGCGUGGCAUUUUCGCCUUCCCGCCUUUUGCGAACUCCUGGCUGCACGCAAGGAAAGCAGACGCCGCAGAGACCCUGGAAGGUGAGAGACAGCGCGGCUGCAUUUCUGGGGCUAGCUAGUUAACUUUGAAUGGGGGAGAGAAAACAGUACUCCAUUUCCGAGGACCAUGAGGAGGAGGUGCUGGAAUGGCUGAGGGAGAACAAGUACCUGUGGAGGAAGGUGAGGAAGGGCCACAAGACUCUUAUCGGACACAAAUGAAAGCAGGCGCUGGAGAGAGAAGG